UCAUUCUCUGCGAAGGAGUUUGCUGAAAUGAGUGGACGAGGGAAAACCGGAAAGGCCAAGAGCAAGCCCAAGUCUCGCUCGUCCCGGGCCGGACUGCAGUUCCCGGUGGGCCGUGUUCACAGGCUCCUGAGAAAGGGUAACUAUGCUGAGCGGGUGGGUGCCGGAGCCCCGGUCUAUAUGGCUGCUGUGCUCGAGUAUCUGACGGCUGAAAUCCUCGAGUUGGCCGGUAACGCGGCCCGGGACAACAAGAAGACCCGCAUCAUCCCCAGACACCUGCAGCUGGCCGUCCGCAACGACGAGGAGCUCAACAAGCUGCUGGGAGGGGUGACCAUCGCUCAGGGCGGGGUGCUGCCCAAUAUCCAGGCUGUGUUGUUGCCCAAGAAAACCGGCGGGUCCACCAACCCCAAGGCCAAGUAAAGAGAAAGCGACAAUUUAAAAACCCAAAGGCUCUUUUCAGAGCCACUCAGAUUGUCUGUGGAAGGGCUGAGCACCGACUGGGGUGAGUCCGGGGGUUUACCGUUCAGAGUGUCUGUCGUAGACAACCGUCUUAAACUCUCAAAGCUACCGCAGUUAUCUGCACAGAGCGCCCUCUCAGCCCGGACUCUCUCCCAUUCCCGAAUUGCCUAAUUUUACCAGAAAAUAAAGACUUUUCCGCUGUCGUCCCGAUUUCCUGAAUGAAUGUAGAGUGGCGAUUGGUGGUAAAUCUGUUGAUGAAUGAAACAGCCCAAUGAGAGAGCAGCCUCAUUCACCAAUUAACAGGCGGCAACAGGAAAAGCGCCAAAACUGACCGCCAGACCACCGAGAUCGUGACAUUUGUAAAGUCCACCGAAAGGAAAGUUAUUUUGUAGAAUAGUUCAAAAGCACCCACAAAGUAAGGAAACAAUAUAAUCUAUGAAAAAACACACAUAACAAAG